CACCUUCUACUUUGCCUCUGCUCCGUGCCACGGCCCUCCCCUCCUCCCGCUCGCCGCGCGCCACCGCUUUCUCCUCUCCUCCCACUCGCCGGGCACGCCACCGCGGGCUGUUGGCGCCCGCGCGCCACCGCCUCCUUACUCGUCGCGCGCACGCCACCUCCCCUCCUCCCGCUCGCCACGCUCACGCCACUGCCGCCCGAUGACGGCCGCGCGCCACCGCCCCCACCCUCGCCGUUGCCCGGGCCUCGUGGCACGGCCCUGCCUGGAAUUUCGUGAUGGAGCGGUGCUCGCGCGUGCUCGGGUGGCUGCUCGCCGAGGGACUCGCGGGGAGCUGGCCGCCGGCGCCGACGAGGACGACCGAGCGGUGCAGCGGGUGCCCGCGGCUUGGACCGUCGCGAUGGAGCAGCGCCGAGGUCACCUCCACCGGUGAGCGCCCUAGCUGUCGCCCGAAGACUGGGGAAGGAUCCGGGCCGCCGGCCGCCGGAACGUCCAGGUCUUGGAAGCGCCGGUGCAGCGGGAGUCCAGGCCCUUGCUCCGAUUCCCCUAUCCUCGGCGGCGGGCAGUUGUACUGGUGCCGGGAUCUGCAAAUCUGCAAUCCUGAUGACAGUCAUCGCCGGCAACGUUGCUGAAUACUAAGGAGUAGGAGUCAAGAGAAAUAUUUCAGAGCUAAGCUGGGAAGUGCUGAAGUCAUCAGAAUCAGAGGAAGCUUGCCAGGUGAGCAGAAAACGCUCAGCUGUCUCGUACGCUUAAAGUCGGCCAUGAGCAGCAUGGUCAACCAGCAGGUACGAGGAGCCGGGCAGCUAAGAAGCGAAAGCGAUAACAGAGAGCCCCUCGUUCGAGCCGGACGUCGCAGCUUUUUCUCCGUGUGUGGUUUGGUGAGAUCCUUUUGGUCAAGAUAGAAAGAGAUGUGGCCUUGCGUUCGUUUCAAGUUGUUGUGGCGCUACGGCAGUGAACUGCAUGAUGAGACGGGCUCGGAAAUCUGCUUCAUUCAAACUAGAUGUUCAUGUUCAGAAAUAUUUGGGUCCUUGCUCAAUUUUAUUCUGGUGCACGCCGUCUUAAAAUUUCUGCAACUUGACUAUACAUGCUCUAUGUUGCUGAUAAAAUUUUUGGCAACCAGUAUCUUUAAUCUAUCAAUCUGUCUGCUGCAGUUUUCA